UGGGGAAUAUUGCACAAUGGGGGAAACCCUGAUGCAGCGACGCCGCGUGAGCAAAGAAGGUUUUCGAAUCGUAAAGCUCUGUCCUAUGAGAAGAUAAUGACGGUAUCAUAGGAGGAAGCCCCGGCUAAAUACGUGCCAGCAGCCGCGGUAAUACGUAUGGGGCGAGCGUUGUCCGGAAUUAUUGGGCGUAAAGGGUACGUAGGCGGUCUAUUAAGUCAGGUGUGAAAGCGUGAGGCUUAACCUCAUUAAGCACUUGAAACUGAUAGACUUGAGUGAAGGAGAGGAAAGUGGAAUUCCUAGUGUAGCGGUGAAAUGCGUAGAUAUUAGGAGGAAUACCGGUGGCGAAGGCGACUUUCUGGACUUUUACUGACGCUCAGGUACGAAAGCGUGGGGAGCAAACAGG
rnacentral:rRNA from 1 species